rnacentral:misc_RNA from 1 species
UCAUGGUUAGCAGACACACCAAUGCCAAGGAAUCAUAUCAUGCUAUGCUGCUGAUGCUUAACUGAGGAAUAAUACACGAACAAAAAGACAUCCGGCAGAGAUUCAGGCACAACCAAAACAUUUGAAUAAGGAGAAAAAACUAGAUGGUUCUGGUGAUGGCUCUGGUUCUGGCUUUAUCGGAGGAAGAUGCUUAAAGAAUGCUUUCACUGCUCCAGUUACCCCAUCCUCAUUCUCCAUCGCCUUGGCAAGCUCAACUGCACGCUCCUUUACCUUGGGAUCUAGCAUGAAAUUUAUAGCAUCAACCAACUUAGGGAGUGAGAACUCGUCAACCGGUAUGGGUGGAGGACCUACUCCUCUGGCAUGUACUCGCUCACCCCAGAAUGGUUGGUCACCAAAGAAAGGCACAAUGGUUGUGGGGCAUGCAGCUUUAAGACCAGCAGCUGUUGUUCCAGCACCUCCGUGAUGAACCACUGCCUUGCAUUGUAAGAACAGCCAGUCAUGAGGACAGUUAUCCAGUAAGUAUAUGGAGUCGUUUGGUUCUGCCAAAUUACCCAGGCCACCCCAGCCUUUGUUAAUGAUUCCCCGCUGGCCAGUUUGUUCCAAUGCAUCCAC